UACGAAGGGUGCAAACGUUGCUCGGAAUUAUUGGGCGUAAAGCGCACGUAGGCGGCAUUGCAAGUCGGAUGUGAAAUCCCUCGGCUUAACCAAGGAAGUGCAUCCGAAACUGCAGUGCUUGAGUACUUAAGAGGAUCGCGGAAUUCCCGGUGUAGAGGUGAAAUUCGUAGAUAUCGGGAGGAACACCAGUGGCGAAGGCGACGAUCUGGGAAGAUACUGACGCUGAGGUGCGAAAGCGUGGGGAGCAAACAGG
rnacentral:rRNA from 1 species